GUUGGUAUUGGGGUAUGAUUCUCGCUUUGGGUGCGAGAGGUCCCGGUUUCAAAUCCCGGACG
rnacentral:tRNA from 1 species